UACGGAGGGUGCAAGCGUUAUCCGGAUUUACUGGGUUUAAAGGGUGCGUAGGUGGGUAAGUAAGUCAGUGGUGAAAUCUCCGAGCUUAACUCGGAAACUGCCAUUGAUACUAUUUAUCUUGAAUAUCCUGGAGGUGAGCGGAAUAUGUCAUGUAGCGGUGAAAUGCUUAGAUAUGACAUAGAACACCAAUUGCGAAGGCAGCUCACUACGGGGUCAUUGACACUGAGGCACGAAAGCGUGGGGAUCAAACAGG
rnacentral:rRNA from 1 species